rnacentral:rRNA from 1 species
UACGAAGGGGGCUAGCGUUGUUCGGAUUUACUGGGCGUAAAGCGCACGUAGGCGGAUCGUUAAGUCGGGGGUGAAAUCCUGGAGCUCAACUCCAGAACUGCCUUCGAUACUGGCGAUCUCGAGUCCGGAAGAGGUGAGUGGAACUCCUAGUGUAGAGGUGGAAUUCGUAGAUAUUAGGAAGAACACCAGUGGCGAAGGCGGCUCACUGGUCCGGUACUGACGCUGAGACACGAAAGCGUGGGUAGCAAACAGG